GCCUGGGUGGCUCAGUUGGUUAAGUGUCCGAUUUUGGUCUCACAGCUUGUGGGUUCGAACCCUGCCUCAGGCU
rnacentral:tRNA from 1 species